AGUGGACGCUGGCGGUAGGCCUAACACAUGCAAGUCGAACGGCAGCACAGUAAGAGCUUGCUCUUACGGGUGGCGAGUGGCGGACGGGUGAGGAAUACAUCGGAAUCUACUUUUUCGUGGGGGAUAACGUAGGGAAACUUACGCUAAUACCGCAUACGACCUACGGGUGAAAGCAGGGGAUAUUCGGACCUUGCGCGAUUGAAUGAGCCGAUGUCGGAUUAGCUAGUUGGCGGGGUAAAGGCCCACCAAGGCGACGAUCCGUAGCUGGUCUGAGAGGAUGAUCAGCCACACUGGAACUGAGACACGGUCCAGACUCCUACGGGAGGCAGCAGUGGGGAAUAUUGGACAAUGGGCGCAAGCCUGAUCCAGCCAUACCGCGUGGGUGAAGAAGGCCUUCGGGUUGUAAAGCCCUUUUGUUGGGAAAGAAAAGCAGCAGGUUAAUACCCCGCUGUUCUGACGGUACCCAAAGAAUAAGCACCGGCUAACUUCGUG
rnacentral:rRNA from 1 species